rnacentral:rRNA from 1 species
UACGUAGGGUGCAAGCGUUGUCCGGAAUUAUUGGGCGUAAAGAGCUCGUAGGCGGUUUGUCGCGUCGAAUGUGAAAACCCGGGGCUCAACCCCGGGCCUGCAUUCGAUACGGGCAGACUAGAGUUCGGUAGGGGAGUCUGGAAUUCCUGGUGUAGCGGUGAAAUGCGCAGAUAUCAGGAGGAACACCGGUGGCGAAGGCGGGACUCUGGGCCGGAACUGACGCUGAGGAGCGAAAGCGUGGGGAGCAAACAGG